ACUGACAGCCAUGGUUACCGCGGCUGCUGGCACGGAGUUAGCCGGUGCUUCUUCUGUGAGUGAUGUCCUUCCUGCCGGUUAUUGACCCGCAGGCCUUCUUCCUCACUGAAAGUGCUUUACAACCCGAAGGCCUUCUUCACACACGCGGCAUGGCUGGAUCAGGGUUGCCCCCAUUGUCCAAUAUUCCCCACUGCUGCCUCCCGUAGGAGUCUGGGCCGUGUCUCAGUCCCAGUGUGGCUGAUCAUCCUCUCAGACCAGCUACGGAUCGUCGCCUUGGUGAGCCGUUACCUCACCAACCAGCUAAUCCGACAUAGGCUCAUCCGAUAGCGCGAGGCCCGAAGGUCCCCCGCUUUCCCCCGUAGGGCGUAUGCGGUAUUAGCCUGGGUUUCCCCAGGUUAUCCCCCACUACCGGGCAGAUUCCUAUGCAUUACUCACCCGUCCGCCGCUCGCCACCAGGGAGCAAGCUCCCCGUGCUGCCGCUCGACUUGCAUGUGUUAGGCCUGCCGCCAGCGUUCAAU
rnacentral:rRNA from 1 species